AGACUGAGUGGUCAAGUGCCUCACCCUUGGGCCCUGGGGCCUGGUUCGGCGCACAAGCAGGGCUCGCCCUGGUGCCGUGGCUUGUUGUGAAGAAGCAACAGCUCAGACUCUGCCCAUUUUUUGUGCAUGGUGGGGAUGCCCAGGCCAACUGAAUCCCAUCAGAUGAGGAAGAUUCUACUUCAGGAGCGCUGGUGGCACAGCGCUGAAGCACUCAACAGCUAACCGGUCAGCGGUCUGUAGCGGCCAGCCGCUCCUCAGCAGAACGAUGCAGCAGUGCGCGUCCAUCGGUUUGACAGCUUUGGGAGCCCUCUAGGGUCAAGAUGAGUAGAAAUUGUCUGGACCGCAACAGGGUUUAAAUUCUACGGCAGGGUUUGUUUGUUUUUGUAAGUUGAUUGCCUCCUACAAAUAGCGUAAAUACGGUAACUA